UACGUAGGGUGCGAGCGUUGUCCGGAAUUAUUGGGCGUAAAGGGCUCGUAGGCGGUCUGUCACGUCGGGAGUGAAAACUCAGGGCUUAACCCUGAGCCUGCUUCCGAUACGGGCAGACUAGAGGUAUGCAGGGGAGAAUGGAAUUCCUGGUGUAGCGGUGAAAUGCGCAGAUAUCAGGAGGAACACGUGGCGAAGGCGGUCUCUGG
rnacentral:rRNA from 1 species